GAGGAAUAUUGGUCAAUGGACGCAAGUCUGAACCAGCCACGUCGCGUGAAGGAAGACGGCCCUACGGGUUGUAAACUUCUUUUAUACGGGAAUAAAGUGCCCCACGCGUGGGGUUUUGCAUGUACCGUAUGAAUAAGGAUCGGCUAACUCCGUGCCAGCAGCCGCGGUAAUACGGAGGAUCCGAGCGUUAUCCGGAUUUAUUGGGUUUAAAGGGUGCUCAGGCGGGGGAUUAAGUCGGCGGUGAAAUUUUGCAGCUCAACUGUAAAAGUGCCUUCGAAACUGGUUUCCUUGAGUGUGGAUGAGGUAGGCGGAAUUUGUGGUGUAGCGGUGAAAUGCAUAGAUAUCACGAGGAACUCCGAUUGCGCAGGCAGCUUACUAAACCAUAACUGACGCUCAAGCACGAAGGCGUGGGGAUCAAAC
rnacentral:rRNA from 1 species